UACGUAGGUGGCGAGCGUUGUCCGGAUUUACUGGGCGUAAAGAGCGCGCAGGCGGCUGGUCAAGUCCGAUGUGAAAGCUCCCGGCUUAACUGGGAAAUUGCAUCGGAAACUGAUCGGCUGGAAGGUGGGAGAGGGUAGCGGAAUUCCCGGUGUAGUGGCGAAAUGCGUAGAUAUCGGGAGGAACACCAGUGGCGAAAGCGGCUACCUGGCCCAUUCUUGACGCUGAGGCGCGAAAGCUAGGGGAGCAAACGGG
rnacentral:rRNA from 1 species